rnacentral:rRNA from 1 species
ACUCCUACGGGAGGCAGCAGUGAGGAAUAUUGGACACUGGGUGGAAGCCUGAUCCAGCCAUCCCGCGUGCAGGAAGACGGCCCUAUGGGUUGUAAACUGCUUUUAUCUGGGGAUAAACCUACUUACGUGUAAGUAGCUGAAGGUACCAGAAGAAUAAGCACCGGCUAACUCCGUGCCAGCAGCCGCGGUAAUACGGAGGGUGCAAGCGUUAUCCGGAUUUAUUGGGUUUAAAGGGUCCGUAGGCGGACUGAUAAGUCAGUGGUGAAAUCCGACAGCUUAACUGUCGAACUGCCAUUGAUACUGUUAGUCUUGAGUAAGGUUGAAGUGGCUGGAAUAAGUAGUGUAGCGGUGAAAUGCAUAGAUAUUACUUAGAACACCAAUUGCGAAGGCAGGUCACUAAGUCUUAACUGACGCUGAUGGACGAAAGCGUGGGGAGCGAACAGGAUUAGAAACCCUUGUAGUCC